CUGCAAUUUAGCUAUUGCUUAUCAUAAACAGACUGGAGUAAAUUCCAUGCGGAUGUUUUAGCUCAGGCAGAGUCUAGAAAUAACGUAACAUCUGAUAUUUCUACUGAAACUAGUGUUGAUAGUAAUUUGAGGUACACUUUCUCCCAUGUUAAAAGAAGUGAUCGUACUGAAAGGUUGUUUGAUAGUGAUGAGAUUGAGAGGUCGUCUGAUAGUGUAGUGAGUGUGAAGCAGGAUCUUCUCAAACUGCAAGAAAGGGUGCUAUGUGUAAAGCUGGCAUCUUGGGCUAAUGAAAACAACCUCAUCAGAGGUGCAGUAAGCAAAUCAUCGACCAGAGCGUCAAGUGUGCACUCCGAGAGCGAAACAAGAUGGGUGGGGCUAAAGCUUAAGAGGGUGUGAAAGAUGCUGAAUGGUGUCGAAAAAGAAGAGUUCUUCACCAGAUACCAAAACAUUCAAAGGCCAUUUUUCUAAGUUGAUGAGAGAGAAACUACUUAAUCCAUUUUAGAAUAAGGCUGUAACGAAAUAUGCAAAAAGUCUGAAUACUUUCCGAGCCAGCACAUGGAGCCAGCACGUGGAGACUUGCAAGAUGAUGUGAUAAAGUCCAGACUGACAGACAGGAGAGAGGCCUGGCACUCAACAUAAAAUGUUUUACGGGACAACUUUUACUUGUAUUGUCUUUAUUAUUGAAUUGAAUGCUAUCAGUCAAGAUGGGGAGGGAGGAAGCCUGUGUAUUCUGCACUAAGUUCAGGGAACUCCUAUUGUAUCCAGGACAUGUCACAGGAAGGUAUGACCACUGCAUUGUUUGCCAAGGUAGGCCCAUUACCACCAGACAAAAUACCGUUAGGCACAGUAUCUGUAUCGGCAGGGAAUGACAAUGAAGGAUAAAAGGUUGACAUUGUUAUAUUAGCAGAACACUGCUUCUAUAGAAUAAACAAUCCUUUACAAAAUACUAUCAUGGACCUGUUACUACAUUUGAAAGUUAUCAAAACACUUAGUUUAGAAUAUCUACAUAAAUUAAUCAAUUGCAUUCUUUUCAUGUUACUCUGUAGGCUACUGACCUAUUUAACGCUUCCUCCGGCAUCUCACCGUACAUCUGCCUGUAGUUAUUGAACUCAAGCUGCAGGAAGUUUGUUUGUUGUGAUUGAGUGGGGGGAAACAGAGGCAAAUGCAGCAUCAUACAAUGCUUGUAGCUAUCUCCACUUAGGCUACUGAUAGUGGAUUGAGCAUAGUGCUCAACAUUGCCUGUGAAAGUGGGUUAAAAUAGCUAAUAUUCAAAAAUGUUAAACAAUAAGACAUGAUCACUUAAAGUAGGUAAUCAAAAAUAUGAAGUAGAUGUAAUGAAGAAUAAGAGUUUUGGAAUUGAUAAAUUAAGUUGGAUCCAAGCCAUUUUUUUUAGAUGCAGGACUUAUAGUGUUUGUGUCACGUCCUGACCAUAGUGAGGUCUUAUUUUCUAUGGUAGAGUAGGUCAGGGUGUGACUGUUUUUUUUAAAUUUAGUUCUAGUUUCUUUUUUCUAUGUUGGGAUUUUUGUAUGAUCCCCAAUUAGAGGCAGCUGGUCAUCGUUGUCUCUAAUUGGGGAUCAUAUUUAAGUAGUUUUUCCCACCUGUGUUUGUGGGAGAUUAUUUUGAGUUAGUGCAUGUUGCACCUCUUUCGUCACGGUUUGUGUUUU
rnacentral:lncRNA from 1 species